UAAGGCUUAUUUGACCCAUUUAAAAAUAGUACAGCGACUUAACCAACUCUCAUUAUUUCUCAUCCAACUUGUGGGAACCCUGCUAUCAGUGUUAGGAAUCAAACUUUGGGUCUAAACCAAAGAAUCAAAAGCUAAAGUUGUUUGUAUACUCAAAAAUAUAGUUAUAUCUUCUUUGGUCAAGCUAACAUAAAUAGGACAAGUUAUCAAGUUUCAAGUCAUUUCGAAGGGCCUCUAAGAUAAGUGGCUUGUUCUCUUAUUGUGUUCUAUUGUCCAACACCAAAUCUUAAAUAACUCCUUAACACCAUGACCACUAUAAGUUCUGCCUUUUCUUCCCUAGACGUUGAAUCUGAAUUAGCUCUUUCCUUUCCCUGAAACAGUGGAUGUGAUAACAACACUUCCAUUAAUGACUUGCACCACCUGUUCAAUCUUUUAAACUUAAUCAUUGUGUAAAAAAGGAGAUAU
rnacentral:lncRNA from 1 species